GACGAACGCUGGCGGCGUGCUUAACACAUGCAAGUCGAACGAAGUGGCGAACGGGUGAGUAACGCGUAAUCAACCUGCCCUUCCGAGGGGGAAAACAGUUGGACACGACUGCUAAUACCGAAUACUGAAGGAGGGGAUUGCGUAUGAUUAGCUAGUGGGAGGGGUAACGGCCCACCAAGCGGAUGAUCAGUAGCCGGUCUGAUGGGAUGGACGGCCACAAUGGGACUGAGACACGGCCCAGACUCCUACGGGGGGCAGCAGUGGGGAAACUUCCGCAAUGGACGAAAGUCUUACGGAGCAACGCCGCGUGAGUGAUGACGGCCUUCGGGUUGGAAAGCUCUGUUAAUCGGGACGCGGUACCGGAAUAGAAAGCCACGGCUAACUACGUGCCAGCAGCCGCGGUAAUUC
rnacentral:rRNA from 1 species